CCUUUGGCAGUGGUUACCGUGGAAACCGUCAAUGCAUCUCUGAGUCUCAGUAAGGAGAAGACAACCUGGCAGGUUAAACUUCAGCGACACAGAAAAACGGGGCUCUGAGAUGGAGGGACUAGAAGAGAAGACGACCAUCACAUUGAGCUCAUCAGAGACAUCCACGAAUCCAGCAGGACCUCGUGGGGAGGGUGAGGAGAGUGUCACCGGGGAGCAGGAGGGACCACCCUGCUGCGCCUCGACCUCCUCAGAGCACGACGGAGGAGGCCCGUCCACCUGUGAGCCCCGUACUGGACAGAAGCUCUUCACCUGUGAGCAGUGUGGGAGGAGUUUCAAUCACAGAACCAAUUGGAAGAGACAUCAGCUGAUUCACGCUGGACAGAAGCCCUUCACCUGUGAGCAGUGUGGGAGGAGUUUCAAUCGCACAGACAGUUUGAAGACUCAUCAGCUGAUUCAUACUGGUGAGAAGCCCUUCACCUGUGAGCAGUGUGGGAGGAGUUUCAAUCGCAGAAGCAGUUGGAAGAUGCAUAAGCUGAUUCAUACUGGUGAGAGGCCUUUCACCUGUGAGCAGUGUGGGAGGAGUUUCAAUCGCAGAAGCAGUUGGAAGAUGCAUAAGCUGAUUCAUACUGGUGAGAAGCCUUUCACCUGUGAGCAGUGUGGGAGGAGUUUCAAUCA